rnacentral:rRNA from 1 species
CGCUGACGAGUGGCGGACGGGUGAGUAAUGUCUGGGAAACUGCCUGAUGGAGGGGGAUAACUACUGGAAACGGUGGCUAAUACCGCAUAACGUCGCAAGACCAAAGAGGGGGACCUUCGGGCCUCUUGCCAUCAGAUGUGCCCAGAUGGGAUUAGCUUGUUGGUGAGGUAACGGCUCACCAAGGCGACGAUCCCUAGCUGGUCUGAGAGGAUGACCAGCCACACUGGAACUGAGACACGGUCCAGACUCCUACGGGAGGCAGCAGUGGGGAAUAUUGCACAAUGGGCGCAAGCCUGAUGCAGCCAUGCCGCGUGUAUGAAGAAGGCCUUCGGGUUGUAAAGUACUUUCAGCGGGGAGGAAGGUGUUGUGGUUAAUAACCGCAGCAAUUGACGUUACCCGCAGAAGAAGCACCGGCUAACUCCGUGCCAGCAGCCGCGGUAAUACGGAGGGUGCAAGCGUUAAUCGGAAUUACUGGGCGUAAAGCGCACGCAGGCGGUCUGUCAAGUCGG